rnacentral:piRNA from 1 species
CCGACUCUGACUCGGACAUGGAGGUCGA